AGUCAGCUGGAGGCUCAGCCUGCAGGCCUUCUUCCAAACGGAGCGCCUCCUGGUGGUCAGACGCUUGGACUGACUGCAGAGAAAUCGUACUCCAAAUACGGUGUUGGCAGGCUGCAGUUUGGGGAGCCCGUCCAACUGGGAACCAACRGGGCAGGAAACUAUGGUUAUGGAGUUAACCCGCAUCUGCCUGCAGGCGACGCUAAAGCAACGGGAAAAUACGG